GACGAACGCUGGCGGCGUGCUUAACACAUGCAAGUCGAACGGUAAGGCCCUUCGGGGUACACGAGUGGCGAACGGGUGAGUAACACGUGGGUGAUCUGCCCUGCACUUCGGGAUAAGCCUGGGAAACUGGGUCGAAUACCGGAUAGGACCACUGCCUGCACGGGUGGGGGGGGAAAGCUUUUGCGGUGUGGGAUGGGCCCGCGGCCUAUCAGCUUGUUGGUGGGGUGAUGGCCUACCAAGGCGACGACGGGUAGCCGGCCUGAGAGGGUGACCGGCCACACUGGGACUGAGAUACGGCCCAGACUCCUACGGGAGGCAGCAGUGGGGAAUAUUGCACAAUGGGCGCAAGCCUGAUGCAGCGACGCCGCGUGAGGGAUGACGGCCUUCGGGUUGUAAACCUCUUUCAGCACCGACGAAGCGCAAGUGACGGUAGGUGCAGAAGAAGGACCGGCCAACUACGUGCCAGCAGCCGCAGUAA
rnacentral:rRNA from 1 species